rnacentral:rRNA from 1 species
AUUGAACGCUGGCGGCAUGCCUUACACAUGCAAGUCGAACGGUAACAGGUCUUCGGAUGCUGACGAGUGGCGAACGGGUGAGUAAUACAUCGGAACGUGCCCGAUCGUGGGGGAUAACGGAGCGAAAGCUUUGCUAAUACCGCAUACGAUCUACGGAUGAAAGCAGGGGACCGCAAGGCCUUGCGCGGACGGAGCGGCCGAUGGCAGAUUAGGUAGUUGGUGGGAUAAAAGCUUACCAAGCCGACGAUCUGUAGCUGGUCUGAGAGGACGACCAGCCACACUGGGACUGAGAAACGGCCCAGACUCCUACGGGAGGCAGCAGUGGGGAAUUUUGGACAAUGGGCGAAAGCCUGAUCCAGCCAUGCCGCGUGCAGGAUGAAGGCCUUCGGGUUGUAAACUGCUUUUGUACGGAACGAAAAGCCUCUUUCUAAUAAAGAGAAGUCAUGACGGUACCGUAAGAAUAAGCACCGGCUAACUACGUGCCAGCAGCCGCCGUAACAC